CUGGCCUUGUCCACUGACAUCUGGCUCCCACAGCCUUACCGGACCCCCUUGCAGUACCCAGUUCUCUAAGGCAGAGGGGGAUCCCAGCACACCAUGGAAAUGGGUCUGAUCAGAUCUUGCUCCCCUCUAGAUGAGCAUGCUAGGAAGGCUUCUCCAGCAGCUUGGCUCCGUGAAGAUUUCCAGCCUCUUAACCCUCCAGCAGGUGUGUCUGCAGGAAAGACUUUUCAGGCUCCUUUCCUGGUUGCUGCACACAAGCCCCGCUCCCAUGGCAGGGAGAUGGAAGGAAAGCCUGUGCUGAAGGCUGAGUUUCCCAGAGGAAGCAUUGGCUCAUUGGCAGCCUCUGCUGCAGGAAGGGAGGCGAUGCCAGGCACAGGCCCAGGAG